rnacentral:rRNA from 1 species
GCCGCCGCGGUAACACCGGCGGCCCGAGUGGUGAUCGUGAUUAUUGGGUCUAAAGGGUCCGUAGCCGGUCUGGUCAGUCCUCCGGGAAAUCUGAUAGCUCAACUAUUAGGCUUUCGGGGGAUACUGCCAGACUUGGAACCGGGAGAGGUAAGAGGUACUACAGGGGUAGGAGUGAAAUCUUGUAAUCCCUGUGGGACCACCUGUGGCGAAGGCGUCUUACCAGAACGGGUUCGACGGUGAGGGACGAAAGCUGGGGGCACGAACCGGAUUAGAUACCCGGGUAGUCCCAGCCGUAAACGAUGCUCGCUAGGUGUCAGGCAUGGCGCGACCGUGUCUGGUGCCGCAGGGAAGCCGUGAAGCGAGCCACCUGGGAAGUACGGCCGCAAGGCUGAAACUUAAAGGAAUUGGCGGGGGAGCACAACAACGGGUGGAAGCCUGCGGUUUAAUUGGACUCAACGCCGGACAACUCACCGGGGGCGACAGCAAUAUGUAGGCCAAGCUGAAGACUUUGCCUGAAUCGCUGAGGGGUGGUGCAUGG